rnacentral:rRNA from 1 species
GAUGAACGCUAGCUACAGGCUUAACACAUGCAAGUCGAGGGGAAACGACAUCGAAAGCUUGCUUUUGGUGGGCGUCGACCGGCGCACGGGUGAGUAACGCGUAUCCAACCUGCCCACCACUUGGGGAUAACCUUGCGAAAGUAAGACUAAUACCCAAUGAUAUCCCACGAAGGCAUCCGAAUGGGAUUAAAGAUUUAUCGGUGAUGGAUGGGGAUGCGUCUGAUUAGCUUGUUGGCGGGGUAACGGCCCACCAAGGCAACGAUCAGUAGGGGUUCUGAGAGGAAGGUCCCCCACAUUGGAACUGAGACACGGUCCAAACUCCUACGGGAGGCAGCAGUGAGGAAUAUUGGUCAAUGGGCGAGAGCCUGAACCAGCCAAGUAGCGUGCAGGAUGACGGCCCUAUGGGUUGUAAACUGCUUUUAUAAGGGAAUAAAGUUAGUCUCGUGAGACUUUUUGCAUGUACCUUAUGAAUAAGGACCGGCUAAUUCCGUG